CACAUGCGCAGCAGCCAGGCGCCCGUAGCUUUCCCUUCAUUGCCACAGAAAGUUGUCCGGAAGUCUAAAAGAAACCAACUUUACAUUUAUUAA
rnacentral:lncRNA from 1 species